rnacentral:rRNA from 1 species
CCUACGGGUGGCUGCAGUGGGGAAUAUUGGACAAUGGGCGCAAGCCUGAUCCAGCCAUGCCGCGUGUGUGAAGAAGGCCUUCGGGUUGUAAAGCACUUUUGUCCGGAAAGAAAAGCUUCCGAUUAAUACUCGGGAGUCAUGACGGUACCGGAAGAAUAAGCACCGGCUAACUUCGUGCCAGCAGCCGCGGUAAUACGAAGGGUGCAAGCGUUACUCGGAAUUACUGGGCGUAAAGCGUGCGUAGGUGGUUCGUUAAGUCUGAUGUGAAAGCCCUGGGCUCAACCUGGGAAUGGCAUUGGAUACUGGCGACCUAGAGUGCGGUAGAGGGUAGCGGAAUUCCCGGUGUAGCAGUGAAAUGCGUAGAUAUCGGGAGGAACAUCCGUGGCGAAGGCGGCUACCUGGACCAGCACUGACACUGAGGCACGAAAGCGUGGGGAGCA